UGCAGAAAUGAAAUACUACCAAGGUGAUGGACCCGACUGUUCUAGAAGCAUAAGAUAGGCUCACCUCCCCACUCAUACUUAAAACGAUCCAGGCAUACAGAACGGUAACGUACCAUUCCAAAUAUCCAAGCUUGGGUAAACCGGGAAACCCAAUCCAUUCCCUUGGGAGGAUGCGUUGUCUGGCUUAAUUGAGACGG
rnacentral:ribozyme from 1 species